rnacentral:rRNA from 1 species
CCUUCGGACUGAAAGCAAGGUGCUGCAUGGCUGUCGUCAGCUCGUGCCGUGAGGUGUUGGGUUAAGUCCGNNAACGAGCGCAACCCCUACCAUUAGUUGCCAUCAGGUUAUGCUGGGGACUCUAAUGGGACUGCCGGUGCAAACCGAGAGGAAGGUGGGGACGACGUCAAGUCAUCAUGGCCCUUANGCCCAGGGCGACACACGUGCUACAAUGGUACAUACAGAGGGUAGCGAACCUGUGAGGGUAAGCCAAUCUCAGAAAGUGUAUCUCAGUUCGGAUCGGAGUCUGCAACUCGACUCCGUGAAGUCGGAAUCGCUAGUAAUCGCGCAUCAGCC